ACGAACGCUGGCGGCGUGCCUAAAACAUGCAAGUCGAACGAUGGCAGCAAUGUCUAGUGGCGAACGGCGGAGGUAAACACGUAAGCAACGUGCCCGGGAGCCUGGGAUAUACAGUCGAAAGACUGGGCAAUACCGGAUGUGGCCACCGAGGGGCAUCCCUUGGUGAUUAAACGGUUUUUCGCUCCCGGAGCGGCUUACGGCCUAUCAGCUUGGUAUGGCGGGUGGUAACGGCCCACCAAGGCUACGACGGGUAGGGGGUCUGAGAGGAUGACCCCCCCGAGUGGGACUGAGACACGGCCCACACACCUACGGGUGGCAGCAGUUGGGAAUCUUGCACAAUGGGGGCAACCCUGAUGCAACGACGCCGCGUGGAGGAUGAAGGAUCUAGGUCUGUAAACUCCUUUUGCCAGGAAAGACUUAGGACGGUACCUGGCGAAUAAGCCCCGGCUAACUACGUGCCAGCAGCCGCGGUAAUACGUAGGGGGCGAGCGUUUGUCCGGAUUUACUGGGCGUAAAGGGCGCGUAGGCGGUCCGUUAAGCAUGAAGUGAAAUCUCCAGGGCUCAACCCGGAAACUGCUUUGUGAACUGGCGGACUGGAGGAAGGCAGAGGUGAGUGGAAUAUCCCGGUGUAGCGGUGACAUGCAUUGAUAUCGGGAGGAACACCCAUGGCGAAGGCAGCUCACUGGGCCUUUCCUGACGCUGAGGCGCGAAAGCGUGGGUAGCAAACAGAAUUAGAUACUCUGGUAGUCCACGCCCUAAACGAUGGAUGCUAGGCGUGAGGGGUAUCGACCCCCCUCGUGCCGGAGCUAACGCAUUAAGCAUCCCGCCUGGGGAGUACGGCCGCAAGGUUUGAAACUCAAAUUGAAUUGACGGGGACCCGCACAAGCGGUGGAGCAUGUGGAUUAAUUCGAUACUAACCGAAGAACCUUACCCAGGUUUGACAUCGAGUGCAACCCCGAGGAAUCGGGGCCUACCCACAAGGUACACGAAGACACCUGUUGCAUGGCUGUCGUCAGCCCGUGCCGUGAGGUGUUUGGUUAAGUCCAGCAACGAGCGCAACCCUCGUCCUGUGUUGCCAGCGGGUAAAGCCGGGAACUCGCAGGAGACCGCCGGUGCAAGCCGGAGGAAGGUGGGGAUGACGUCAAGUCAGCAUGGCGGUUACGCCUGGGGCUUCACACAUGCUACUACAAUGGGCGCAACAAAGGGCAGCAAAAACCGCGAGGUGGAGCUAAUCCCAAAAAUUACGUCCUCAGUUCAGAUAGGAGUCUGCAACUCGACUCCUUGAAGGCGGAAUCGCUAGUAAACGCAGAUCAGCUAUACUGCGGUUGAAUACGUUCCCGGGGUCUUGUACACACCGCCCGUCAAGUCACCCGAAUUGUCUGCAACCCGAAGUCCGUGGCCCAACCGUAAGGAGGGAGCGGCCGAAGGUGCGGGGGGUAAGGGGGACU
rnacentral:rRNA from 1 species